rnacentral:rRNA from 1 species
CAAGGAAUUUUGUGCAAUGGGCGAAAGCCUGACACAGCGACGCCGCGUGGGGGAUGAAGGCCCUCGGGUUGUAAACCCCUUUUACCGGGGAAGAAUAAUGACGGUACCCGGUGAAUAAGCUUCGGCUAACUACGUG